AGAGUUUGAUCCUGGCUCAGGAUUAACGCUAGCGGUGUGCCUAAGGUAUGCAAGUCGAACGAUAAACUAUCUUCGGAUAGUAGACAGUGGCAGACGGCUGAGUAACGCGUGGGAAUCUACCCCAAACACGAGGAUAGCUCAUCGAAAGAUGUGGUAAUACUCGAUAGUUCCCGAUUUAAUCGGGAUAAAGCUCCGGCGGUUUGGGAUGAGCCCGCGUCCUAUCAGAUUGUUGGUGAGGUAAAAGCUCACCAAGUCUAUGACGGGUAGCUGGUCUGAGAGGAUGACCAGCCAGACUGGGACUGCGAUACGGCCCAGACUCCUACGGGAGGCAGCAACUAGGAAUCAUGCGCAAUGGACGAAAGUCUGACGCUGCGACACCGCGUGAGGGAUGAAGGUCUUAGGAUCGUAAACCUCUUUUAUUGGGGAACAAGUUCUGAGGGUACCCAAUGAAUAAGUGCCUGCUAACCACGUGCCAGAAGCAUCGGUAAUACGUGGGGCACAAGCGUUAUCCGGAUUUACUGGGCGUAAAGAGAUGCGUAGGCGUCCUAAAAAGUUUCGUGUUAAAUCUCUCGGCUCAACCGAGAAACCGCACGGAAAACUUUUAGGAUUGAGAUAAGUAGGGGAGAAGGGAAUUCCUGGUGGAGCGGUUAAAUGCGUUGAUAUCAGGAGGAAUACCAAUGGCGAAGGCACUUCUCUGGACUUUAUCUGACGCUGAGGCUCGAAAGCGUGGGGAGCAAAACGGAUUAGAUACCCGUGUAGUCCACGCUGUAAACGAUCCCUGCUAGAUGUCUGAUUCUCGUAAGUUUUUCACUUCGGUGAAAUGUUUUACGUUUAUUGGGUGUCGUAGUUAACGCGUUAAGCAGGGCGCCUAGGGAGUACGGCCGCAAGGCUAAAACUUAAAGGAAUUGACGGGGACCCGCACAAGCAGUGGAGCGCCUGGUUUAAUUCGAUGACCAACGAAAAACCUCACCUGAGCUUGAACUGUAGCUGCACACCCCCAGAAACGGGGGAAUCCUUCGAGGGUGCUACAGAGGUGCUGCAUGGCUGUCGUCAGCUCGUGUCGUGAGAUGUAGGGUUAGGUCCCACAACGAGCGCAACCCCUAUCUAGUGUUAUAAUUUCUCUAGAGACUGCUCUGUUAUAACAGGGAGGAAGGAGGGGACGACGUCCAGUCAUCAUGAUCCUUAUGUUCAGGGCUACACAGACGCUACAAUGGUUAAUACAAUGGGCAGCCAAGCCGCGAGGUGGAGCUAAUCCCAUCAAAGUUAAUCUCAGUUCGGAUUGUAGGCUGCAACUCGCCUGCAUGAAGUUGGAAUUGCUAGUAAUCGCGAAUCAGCAUGUCGCGGUGAAUACGUUCUCGGGUCUUGUACACACCGCCCGUCAGGGCACGGGAGUUGCUCUUGCUCGAAGUUCCUAUUUUUUUAGGACCGAAAGUUAAGGGUGGCGACCAGGCUUAAGUCGUAACAAGGUA
rnacentral:rRNA from 1 species